rnacentral:rRNA from 1 species
AUGACCGAGCUCUACUCCGGCGCGAUCAAGCUCGACGCCGUCGUCUUCUUCCUCGGGGAGCGACGCCCGCAUCUCCUUCUUCUUUCUCGACCUCGCAAGCGCCCAUUCGAGCCACGGAUCGACCUCCUCCUUGACGUCUUCUUCCCCUGCUUCCUCUGCUUCAUGGACCCGAAGCCCCGCCAAGUCCACCGCCGCCGUUCAGCGCACUUCCCCGCCGUCUCCACUGCGUUCCGGUUGAACUACGACGUCGCCGAAACCCGUGGUGAGCUCAUGCUCCUCCCGGUCUUUGUCCCCUUGUUGAUUCCGUCCACGAAGCCGGCGUCUGUGCAUAUCCGAGGCCUUGAUCGCUGGAAAUCUUCGCAACCUCUGCUGUACACGCUCGAGCUCGCCCACGUACACGCUCCCGUAGCCCCCGCAUGCAUCUGCAGCCCCGCGCGCACCCUGCCUGCUUGCCGCUCGCUCGCCGCGCCAUGCUCGCCUCUGCCGCACUUGCUCGCCGACGCCCGAGACGAGCACGGCCUCAUGCUCGAGCCAAUCUCCCGCAGCUGCUCCGCACGCACGCACGCAUCCAUACCCCAUUCCCGCAGGCCCGCCGGUGCUCUGCAUCGCGAGCCGCCGCCUCCUAGCUCGUCAAUGCCAGCUCCGUUGAUCUCUGUGCAGCCAUGGCCAAAGGUUCGGCCUUCUUGUUAUGAGUCAAGAAGAAUCAGGCGCAUUGAAUUUCACAAGCGCACAUGCAGCGUAGUGAUCAGCGACUUUUCUGUAUACCGAGAGGUCCUGGGAUCAAAUCCCAGGGAGCCUCAAUUCCUUUUUCCCCGGUGUAUUGUUUUUUUCCUUCCAACCGUGCACACACAGCCACUUGGGCCUCAUUCACUCUCGGGCCGCGGUACUGUGUUGCUUCUGGCCCGCCUAUGUUUUUUUCUCUGCUCUGUGAUUUUAGCAUUUUCCAGUGCAUGCAUAUUUACAGGAAAUGCCACUGUUUUGCAUUGUUAA